UGCUAUUGCACCCAAACCCGAGAU
rnacentral:siRNA from 1 species